CCUUACCCGCUGAACUUAAGCAUAUAAGUAAGCGGAGGAAAAGGAACUAAAUAGGAUUCCCUUAGUAAUGGCGAACGAACAGGGAUGAGCUCGGCUUGGAAACUGGGGCUUCGGCCUUGGAUUGUAGCCUCUAGACAUAGUACCAACGGAGGCGCAGGUGUAAGCCUCUUGGAAAAGAGCAUCAAUGUGGGUGAGAAUCCUGUGUUUCACUUGCAGUCCACCGUGCACGGUACAUGUUCUCAGAGUCGCGUUCCUCGGAAUUGGAGCGUAAAGUGGGUGGUAAAUUUCAUCUAAAGCUAAAUGUAGGCUUGAGACCGAUAGCAAACAAGUACCAUGAGGGAAAGAUGAAAAGGACUUUGAAAAGAGAGUUAAAAGUGCUUGAAAUUGCUGAAAGGGAAGCGAAUGGAACCAGUCCUCUGGCUGAGAUUGUUGCAUGCUCCUGUGAUGCCUGGCUGCUUCAGCGCAAGCGUGGCAGUGGUUUUUGAUCAGGAUGUGCGUGUUGUUUCUUGCCUUGUGUGUCAACGUCAGUUCUCAAUCGAGGAAAACGCCAGGAACAUGGUAGCUCGCUUUCGGGUGAUCGAAUGUGCUUGGUUGAACUCAUUUGUGAACUGGUUCUUGCGUGUCUGGUUGCAGUGUCCUCUGUUCCUUCCUUCUGUCUGUGAAGUGGUCUUCUACUCUGCAGCUGAAGUGGGCAACUGGGACAUCUCCUUGACACAACGACGAUGACUAAAUGGUUCUAUUCGACCCGUCUUGAAACACGGACCAAGGAGUCUAACAUAUGUGCGAGUUCACGGGCGGGUAAACCUGCUUGCGCAAUGAAAGUGACUGCUGGGAUCUUUGCACCAGCAACCGACCAAUCAAUUGAGAGAGGUUUGAGUAUGAGCAUAUCUGUUAGGACCCGAAAGAUGGUGAACUAUGCGUGGUUAGGGCAAAGUCAGGGGAAACUCUGAUGGAGGCUCGUAGCGAUACUGACGUGCAAAUCGUUCGUCAAAACUGCGUAUAGGGGCGAAAGACUAAUCGAACCAUCUAGUAGCUGGUUCCCUCCGAAGUUUCCCUCAGGA
rnacentral:rRNA from 1 species